rnacentral:rRNA from 1 species
UACGUAGGGUGCGAGCGUUGUCCGGAAUUAUUGGGCGUAAAGGGCUCGUAGGCGGUUUGUCGCGUCGGGAGUGAAAACCCAGGGCUUAACCCUGGGCUGGCUUCCGAUACGGGCAGACUAGAGGUAUGCAGGGGAGAACGGAAUUCCUGGUGUAGCGGUGAAAUGCGCAGAUAUCAGGAGGAACACCGGUGGCGAAGGCGGAUCUCUGGGCCUUACCUGACGCUCAGGUGCGAAAGCUAGGGGAGCGAACAGG